rnacentral:rRNA from 1 species
CCUACGGGAGGCUGCAGUGAGGAAUAUUGGUCAAUGGCCGGAAGGCUGAACCAGCCAAGCCGCGUGAAGGAUGAAGGUGCCAAGCAUUGUAAACUUCUUUUGUCAAGGGACAAAAUCAGGCUCGAGAGCCUGACCGAGGGUACUUGAAGAAAAAGCAUCGGCUAACUCCGUGUCAGCAGCCGCGGUACUACGGAGGAUGUGAGCGUUAUCCGGAUGUAUUGGGUUGAAAGGGUUCGUAGUCGGACUGUUAAGUCAGCGGGAAAAGCCCGGGGCUCAACCCCGGCGAGCCGUGGAAACUGGGUGUCUUGAGAUGUCGAGAGGUAGGCGGAAUGUGCAGUGUAGCGGUGAAAUGCUUAGAUAUUGCGCAGAACUCCGAUUGCGAAGGCAGCAUACCGGCGGCGAUCUGACGCUGAGGCACGAAAGCGUGGGUAUCGAACAGGAUUAGAUACCCCAGUAGUC